AAAUCUGUGCAGAUAUGUUCCAGAGGAGCUACUUUGAAUAUUGCUUAUGCAAGCACACAGAGGACACAAUGUCUGAAGUUGACCCUUUUUGCUGUCCAGCCUGUCAACCUGAUAUGUUGGCAGUAUGCUGUGAUGGCAACCGGAAACAUUAUCGUUUCAAAAAGUCAAGGGGAACUGAGGAACCCUCUUUAUAUGAGGGCUUGUUCAUAGCCAAAGACGAUGAAGUUCUGGCCUUUCAGGAGAAUAUCAGAGGAAGCAGCGGGGCAAGAGCAAAUGACAAUGGGACAUGUGGGGUGUCAAGGUUCAGGGCAAGUAAGGAGGCCUCAAAGAAAUCUUCCUCAA